GGGGAUAUGAAGAUACAGGAGAUGGUGAAGCUAGGCCAUGAGCUGAUGUUAUGUACACCAGAUGACCGGGAUCUUCUGAUGGGCUGUGAGUGUCCCCAGAAGCAGCUGCAGUUCAUGGACCAGUUGCUGGAUAUGAUGCAGAGCCUGGCCACUGGAUGCUCCAGUAGUUCUAGGUAAAG